rnacentral:sRNA from 1 species
GAGACAUCCGGUUGACGCUAUGCAGGGUCGUUUGGUAUCUUUGUAAUUCUGAGAUUCAGUUGGCUGAUGUUGGGUGUGAUUGGGUCGUUGUAGUGCCCGUCCGUAUCGACUGAUCCAUAAGUCAAGUCGGAUUGAAUCGAUCCGUUGUCAUCUUCUGGAGGGCUGAUCAUACUCGGUGCAUAGGGGCUGUAACGAUGGUCAUACCAGAUUUGAUAAGAGCCGGAACAGUUAUUGCAUAAGAGUAUUCGAGGUGUCGCGAGAAUGCCAUUCUUGAGUUGUGGACUGAGAAACAAUUGUGGUAUAAGAAGGUCAAUCGGACAUCAGCGAAGACGAUAGGUCGGUAAAUGGAGGAACUCAGCUUUAUGUUGAUCCUUUAGAAGCGAUCAACUUGUAUCUCCUUUCAUGACUGAACACGCUGACAGUUAGUAGAAUUCGCUAAGACGUAAUAACGAGAAAUCAUAGUGUAGCCCUUAUUAGGGAGUUGGAAAUGAUUGGCCCUUGAAAGGCAUUAUCCACGACGUGAACAAGCAACAUUAGACGGAUAGAGACAUUCAUUAUCCCAAGUUAUUGGCGCUGUUCUGAUUAUUCUACUUGUUUUUAGGGUUUUCUUCCACGAAAUAGGUGUAGCGGCACCACUGUCGUCGUAGAGGCCGGGAAGUACCUUAAGCUACAAUAGUUUCGUUGUCCUCGGUCGUUUGUAUUUAAUCGAACUAGAAGCUUUGAGUGUAGACAAUGUGGCUUUGUAGACUGAAAGAUUCGAGAAGACUAGGCUGCUUGGGGCAAUGCAUUUA